CUUUGUGAAUGUUACUGUGGAUGUACAUCAACGAUACACAGUAAUAAACUGUCUAUUUUUCUCGCUUGAAAAUUCCCUUAUUUCUUGCCAUGUGAGGUAUGGACCGGAGUGUGGCAAUUUAUCAUCUAGUAAGGGAGUAUCAGCAAGCAAGGAGUCUGACGAUGUCACAAUUCUUUUGUUCAAUGCUUACUCGCAAUGUUUCGUGGUCACAGCUACUAAUGGAUCAUAUGUUGUUGAAGUUCAUGGUCGUACCAGUGGAUACGCAUCAGCAGAUUCAACCCAGUUCCUCAACAUUAUCGCCAUAGUGAGUGCCGGGACUGCAGUGUCUAUGAUAUCUAUAGCAGUGGUAGUCUUUGGGUGUUGCUUGGUUGCAUGUUACAUAAAAGUCCGAAAAAGUUCCACAAAGGAGGAACACAAUGUUGUAGAGAACGAUCCAACUUAUGAAGAGAUAUCAGCUGUUAGGAUGAGGCCUAGGGCUAGGGGCAGCAUCAGCAUUGAACCGAAUGAAGCAUACCACCGAGUGUCAGUCCAAUUUCAAGCACAUACUUAGUUCAUGACUAUUUAAUUAAAAAACAGGUUGUCACUAUCGAGUCAAGUGUGUAUAUAUACAUGACAUUUUCUAUGUAGAUUCAGAUUCAGUGUG